rnacentral:rRNA from 1 species
UACAGAGGUCUCAAGCGUUGUUCGGAUUCAUUGGGCGUAAAGGGUGCGUAGGUGGCGCCGUAAGUCAGGUGUGAAAUUUCGGAGCUUAACUCCGAAACUGCAUUUGAUACUGCGGUGCUUGAGGACUGGAGAGGAGACUGGAAUUUACGGUGUAGCAGUGAAAUGCGUAGAGAUCGUAAGGAAGACCAGUGGCGAAGGCGGGUCUCUGGACAGUUCCUGACACUGAGGCACGAAGGCCAGGGGAGCAAAACGGG